UUCCGGGUUUUUACCUGCCACUUUUUUCUCACACUUGCUGAGGUGUUCCUGAGAGUAUCUCUGUAGACCUUAGAAAGCUCUUGAUUUAAGACGUUGGCAUGCUGGCUGAUAUCCGAACAAAGGAUGGGCCAGAGAUAUCAAUGCCUUCCCGACGGAUAUCAGGUGACACAAUAUCGGAUAAACAGUAUUAUUUCUCCAGCAGUGUAGGGCAUAGACUUCCUGUGAUAAUGCGGCAUGUUUCAUUAAGAGCCACAUCCACUGUUUUAACAUGGAGAAAUGUAUUCCACACUGGGCAUGCAUAUUCAGCAGCAUAGUAGCAAACCGCAAGGGUGGAGGUCUUCACUAUAUCUGGUUGUGAUCCCAAGGUUGUGCCAGUCAGUUUUCGUAUGAUAUUAUUUCUAGCACCCACUUUUUGCUUGGUAUUCAAGCAGUGCUUCUUGUACAUCAGAGCAUGGUCUAACUGCAAUGUGCUGCAAUGCUCCAGUGGAAUUCCUUCCCAGGUAAUGCUCAGAGCUUGAGAUGCUUCUCUGUUCUUAAGAUGAUUCCAUCGCAUUGAGCCACGGUAGUAAAAAUGGUGUCAUACUACAUUAAUUUAACAGUGUAGAAACACCUAAAGUCUCAGUUGUCCAUGCAAGAAUAACUUUCUUCUGAUCAGCCAUCAAAUGUACUAUUCCAUUUUAAUUUUAAAAACAGUAAUGUGACCCUCAUUCCUCCAAGUGAUUUUUUUUAAAUGAUGUUUAUUUCGCUUUUAGUUGUACAUAAAAUUUGGGGUUGUAGGGGAGGGGGAGGGGGGGUUAUGAAAGGCAGGGGAAGAGGUGAAGGGGGGGAGGUUAAAGGAAAGGGGAUAGGAGAGGGGGGUAGUGUUACUUCCAAGUGAUUUUUGUGUGUGCCACAUCUAUAUAUAUAAAAGGGUAAUGAAAUUUCGGCCUAGGACAAAACAACAAAACUACACAUCCCAGAAACACUAAACUUGGCAGCAUAACCCCUCUUCCAUGCCUCUACAUUCAUACAACAAAAAGCUCCAUCUACUCCAGAAAACGGCCAGGCUUUGAGACUGCAAGGCUAUUCACUGCUAUUCCACCUGGCCAACAAAGGAUUCCCAUAAGCCACAGCAACUCGUGGCCGGGCAAAGCUAGUAGUAUAUAUUUUAAAACAGGCUGUUUCAAACAUCCCGUCCAAAUACCAAGUAAAGUCCCUCCAGCUAUUUUAUGCAAUGGGGAAAGAAACAUAUAGAUAGAAGCUUAAAUGUAUUUAUAAGAUUUGGGGUACUUCAGUCUACUGGGAUGAAGUGGGUGCUGCCCAUGAAAGCUUGUGCCAAAGGAAACUUGUAAGUUUGUAAGAUGUUAUGUGACUCUUCAUUAUGAGCAGAAAUAUGAAUCACAUAUCUAUGUAGCCCUUCAAAGUUUCAAAAUGCUAAGUGAUUUCGAUAAUGUAAAAAAAGAGAAAGGAAAUCCAUGAGUGAUUUCUUAGCUGUCAAGUCACCUUUCAACAUGUACUUGGAGGAAUUCAUUAAGACCCAUGGCCUUUCUGAAGAGUUCACUGCUAAAAUUUGAAUGCGAAGGAAAGGGACUGCAUUGUUCAGCAAGUCACGAUCCCGGCUUUUGGUUGUUAUGUAUCUUAUGGGAACUAGGGCAGCUUAAGAGUGGAUUAAUGCUGAAAGAACAUCUGAAUUUGAAAAUCUGCUUCCAGCGCACACACCAGCCAUCUCAGCAUUGUCACCUUUGUUAAAAGAAAAACCCUUGGAUGCAGAGCAGGCAUGGAGAGCCCCCAAAUAAGCAGGAGAAUAAAUUUGCAAGUGCCUUUGCCCUGGUCUGUCUCCACCAUCUGGAAGUUAAUUAAUUAGAGGGUCUGGAAGGGUUGAACUGUGCUGUCAGGAGAAAGAAACUUCGUUCUGGUGAAAGUGAGCCUGGAAAGGAAAAGGGUGUUGCCCAUAACACACACCCGAACUACUUGAUAACAGAUGAUAUAGGAAAACAUGAUGCUGCCACAGGAGACUGAUUUGAAACUUCUACACCAAAAGACUGUGUUGGUGUUUGCUGUCAAGUUGACUUCAACCUUUGGUGACUCUGUGAAUGAGAAAUACAACAAAAGCCAAAAUCCAGAAAAGAAUGAUAGCUUUAUUGCCCAAACGAAAUGCAUAAAAUACAUCAUGCAAGCUUUUGAAGCUUCAUUGGUUUCGUAAUCACACAAGGAUAUACAAAUCAUACGGUAGAGGAAAAGUGAUAAUAUAUGAUGGAGUCAGCAAAGUUUUGAAAGCUUGCAUUAUGUAUUUUGUGUAUUUUGGUAGCUCAAUAAAGGUCUGUUGUGGAUUUUAGA